ACCUCAAAAGAAGCAGAGGGGGCUUAGUGGUGGGGUGACUGCGUACCUUUUGUAUAAUGGGUCAGCGACUUAUAUUCUGUAGCAAGGUUAACCGUAUAGGGGAGCCGGAGGGAAACCGAGUCUUAACCGGGCGUUAAGUUGCAGGGUAUAGACCCGAAACCCGGUGAUCUAGCCAUGGGCAGGUUGAAGGUUGGGUAACACUAACUGGAGGACCGAACCGACUAAUGUUGAAAAAUUAGCGGAUGACCUGUGGCUGGGGGUGAAAGGCCAAUCAAACCGGGAGAUAGCUGGUUCUCCCCGAAAGCUAUUUAGGUAGCGCCUCGUGAACUCAUCUCCGGGGGUAGAGCACUGUUUCGGCUAGGGGGCCAUCCCGGCUUACCAACCCGAUGCAAACUGCGAAUACCGGAGAAUGUUAUCACGGGAGACACACGGCGGGUGCUAACGUCCGUCGUGAAGAGGGAAACAACCCAGACCGCCAGCUAAGGUCCCAAAGUCAUGGUUAAGUGGGAAACGAUGUGGGAAGGCCCAGACAGCCAGGAUGUUGGCUUAGAAGCAGCCAUCAUUUAAAGAAAGCGUAAUAGCUCACUGGUCGAGUCGGCCUGCGCGGAAGAUGUAACGGGGCUAAACCAUGCACCGAAGCUGCGGCAGCGACAUUUAGGUGUUGUUGGGUAGGGGAGCGUUCUGUAAGCCUGUGAAGGUGGCCUGUGAGGGUUGCUGGAGGUAUCAGAAGUGCGAAUGCUGACAUAAGUAACGAUAAAGCGGGUGAAAAGCCCGCUCGCCGGAAGACCAAGGGUUCCUGUCCAACGUUAAUCGGGGCAGGGUGAGUCGACCCCUAAGGCGAGGCCGA
rnacentral:rRNA from 1 species